AAAAAUUAUUUCUUUCAUUAUUUUUUCUAAAGAACGUGUUCAUGUCCCUUGUGUUCAUCCCCAGAACAGAAAUCAUAUUCUUAGAUCAAUGAGUUAAACUUUAUUACAAACCCAUAAAAAAUUCACACAAUCAGAAUAAAAACUUCAACCCAAAACUUCCUUAUCAAAAGCCGGUUCCCCCAAUCCUUCUAAAACAUUCUCCAAGCUUCCUUUCUCUUCCAAAACUCAAAGCUUCCUCUCUCUCUCUCUCUUCCAAAACACGGAGAUCUCUCUCUUCCAGACCAUGUUCCGCCAACUCCAACUCCAACUCUGCCGCCAGCACGUCAUCUUAUGAAGAAACCUCGAAUCACAGAAAUAGAAACGCGACUCCUCUAUGCUUCCGCUACUCCCAGCUCGAGCGAGCCAAUUGAAUCGGGAGCGGCACGGGAGGGACCAUGUACUGAGUGAUCCACAAGCCGACGAGUAGAGUCUUCACCCUCAAGGUCAUAUACAGGAACCAUGAGGACUUGGUGCGCCGCCAGAUCUGCACCGAAAUUGAGAUCCUCCACAACGUGGACAACCUGAACAUGGUCAAAUGCCACGACAUGUUCGACCACAACGGCGAAAUCCAAGUCCUGUUGGAGUACAUGGAUCGAGGCUCAUUGGAAGGUAUGCACAUCGCGAACAAGCGCCAACUCUCCAAUCUAGCCCACCAAAUCCUCGCCGAACUCGCCUGCUUGCACCAGCGACACAUUGUCCAUCGCUACAUCAAGCCCUCGAAGGUGGUCAACUGGGCUCAGAGGUGGUGGGUAGAUCUGGAUUUUUUGGCCGUUGGUGGGGCUUAAAGGUGGUGAAUCAGUGGAGGAUUUUCUUGGUCUAUUGUUAUGUUUGGUUGGUUGGGUCCGGUAGAGAUGUUUUAGUGUUUUGGUUGAGAUGUUGUGUUUUGGUAUUUUUGUGAUUGUUGGGUUUUGGUCUCAUUUGAAGAUUGCUGUGUGUUUUACAUGUUUGGUUGCUAAGAAAAUGUAAGAAGAGAAACAAUGAGAGAAUCUUUUAGAUUUGGGUUGGUGUUUUUGGUGUUCUUGUUCAAGAAACUUUUAGAUCUUAAUUAUUGUGAAUUUUGGUUUUUAA